AUUAAUUAGUGUGUGUAAGGUGUAUCUAUGGUCAGUAGUGCGAUGGUGUUUAUUAAUUAGUGUGUGUAAGGUGUAUAUAUGGUCAGUAGUGCGAUGGUGUUUAUUAAUUAGUGUGUGUGAGGUGUAUAUAUGGUCAGUAGUGCGAUGGUGUUUAUUAAUUAGUGUGUGAGGUGUAUAUAUGGUCAGUAGUGCGAUGGUGUUUAUUAAUUAGUGUGUGUGAGGUGUAUAUAUGGUCAGUAGUGCGAUGGUGUUUAUUAAUUAGUGUGUAAGGUGUAUAUAUGGUCAGUAGUGCGAUGGUGUUUAUUAAUUAGUGUGUGAGGUGUAUAUAUGGUCAGUAGUGUGAUGGUGUUUAUUAAUUAGUGUGUGAGGUGUAUAUAUGGUCAGUAGUGCGAUGGUGUUUAUUAAUUAGUGUGUGUAAGGUGUAUAUAUGAUCAGUAGUGUGAUGGUGUUUAUUAAUUAGUGUGUGUAAGGUGUAUAUAUGGUCAGUAGUGAGAUGGUGUUUAUUAAUUAGUGUGUGUAAGGUGUAUAUAUGGUCAGUAGUGAGAUGGUGUUUAUUAAUUAGUGUGUGUCAGGUGUAUAUAUGGUCAGUAGUGAGAUGGUGUUUAUUAAUUAGUGUGUGUAAGGUGUAUAUAUGGUCAGUAGUGCGAUGGUGUUUAUUAAUUAGUGUAUAUAUGGUCAGUAGUGUGAUGGUGUUUAUUAAUUAGUGUGUGUAAGGUGUAUAUAUGGUCAGUAGUGUGAUGGUGUUUAUUAAUUAGUGUGUGUGAGGUGUAUAUAUGGUCAGUAGUGCGAUGGUGUUUAUUAAUUAGUGUGUGUAAGGUGUAUAUAUGGUCAGUAGUGCGAUGGUGUUUAUUAAUUAGUGUGUGUCAGGUGUAUAUAUGGUCAGUAGUGCGAUGGUGUUUAUUAAUUAGUGUGUGUAAGGUGUAUAUAUGGUCAGUAGUGCGAUGGUGUUUAUUAAUUAGUGUGUGUGAGGUGUAUAUAUGGUCAGUAGUGCGAUGGUGUUUAUUAAUUAGUGUGUGUAAGGUGUAUAUAUGGUCAGUAGUGAGAUGGUGUUUAUUAAUUAGUGUGUAAGGUGUAUAUAUGGUCAGUAGUGAGAUGGUGUUUAUUAAUUAGUGUGUGUGAGGUGUAUAUAUGGUCAGUAGUGU